rnacentral:rRNA from 1 species
AUUGAACGCUGGCGGCAUGCCUUACACAUGCAAGUCGAACGGUAACAGGUCUUCGGAUGCUGACGAGUGGCGAACGGGUGAGUAAUACAUCGGAACGUGCCCGAUCGUGGGGGAUAACGAGGCGAAAGCUUUGCUAAUACCGCAUACGAUCUACGGAUGAAAGCGGGGGAUCUUCGGACCUCGCGCGGACGGAGCGGCCGAUGGCAGAUUAGGUAGUUGGCGGGAUAAAAGCUUACCAAGCCGACGAUCUGUAGCUGGUCUGAGAGGAUGAUCAGCCACACUGGGACUGAGACACGGCCCAGACUCCUACGGGAGGCAGCAGUGGGGAAUUUUGGACAAUGGGCGAAAGCCUGAUCCAGCCAUGCCGCGUGCAGGAUGAAGGCCUUCGGGUUGUAAACUGCUUUUGUACGGAACGAAAAGCCUCUUUCUAAUAAAGAGGGGUCAUGACGGUACCGUAAGAAUAAGCACCGGCUAACUACGUG